rnacentral:rRNA from 1 species
GCUGUGGAACUCCUACGGGAGGCAGCAGUGGGGAAUUUUGGACAAUGGGGGCAACCCUGAUCCAGCCAUGCCGCGUGCGGGAAGAAGGCCUUCGGGUUGUAAACCGCUUUUGUCGGGGAAGAAACGGUCUGCGCUAAUACCGCGGGCUAAUGACGGUACCCGAAGAAUAAGCACCGGCUAACUACGUGCCAGCAGCCGCGGUAAUACGUAGGGUGCAAGCGUUAAUCGGAAUUACUGGGCGUAAAGCGUGCGCAGGCGGCUUUGCAAGACAGAUGUGAAAUCCCCGGGCUCAACCUGGGAACUGCAUUUGUGACUGCAUGGCUAGAGUGCGGCAGAGGGGGAUGGAAUUCCGCGUGUAGCAGUGAAAUGCGUAGAUAUGCGGAGGAACACCGAUGGCGAAGGCAAUCCCCUGGGCCUGCACUGACGCUCAUGCACGAAAGCGUGGGGAGCAAACAGGAUUAGAAACCCUGGUAGUCCUACCACGU